rnacentral:lncRNA from 1 species
UGGGGAUCAGGAGCUACUGGACUCUGAUUCUCAUCUGUUAUUAACAUUUGUAUUGUUGCUCUAAGUGAUACCCACAGAUCCCAGCUACUGCUUGGUAAAUCUUAGCCCAUCCUCCUCCUUGGCUGGCUGAUGGGCUCAUACUUAUGUCUGAAAGAAGUCCCUCCUUGGGAGAUCUUCUCUGUCUGUUUAAUGCUAAGUAGCUGACACACCUCUACUCUGUUCAGUGGACCCUGUGGCUUGGCAUUUGUGACUAACCAUACACAGAUGUAUCUCAAUAUUUAAAAUGCUGGAGUGAAGAUCCCCAUGUCAUUAUAAAGAAUAGCUUAGAGAGAUCUGGAUCCUUUACCAGCCUCUCCUAGGCCAGUGUGUUCCAUCACAACUGUACAAUAGUACAAAUCAGGAAUCCGGCUUUGCUCAACCCACCUACCCAUCCUGCAUGAGUUCCAUGUGCAUGCUUCUCUCUCUCUCUCUCUCUCUCUGUAUAUGUAUGUGUGAGUGAGUGUGUGUGUGUGAGUGUGUGUGUGUGUGUGUGUUAUGAUUUUACCAAAUAGUGUCUACCCCAGUCAAGACACAGAAUAUUUCUGUAUCUUGGUUCCUGCUGAUUCUCUCCAUAUGUGUGCCUUUACUCCUGUACUUGUCCCUGCACUCUGUAACUGAUUGGGGCAGGAUCUCAGGUCUGAUAUCUAUACCCUGGUUCCAGUUAAAUCAGCUCCAAGCUCCCAGGGGGUCCUAUGUGAUCAGGAAUAAAUUGGAUUUCUCUCAGAGGAAAGGGAGUUAGAAAUCCAGAACUUUUUAUAGAUAAAAAUUGCUGCAAAAGGAAGAAAACCAUUGAAAGCCAAAAGCACUGAGGGGAUGCAGACCAUAGAGUCUUUCUUAUUGUAGAAGAUUUUAAAGACCCUGGUAGGCAAUGAAGGCUAUGCAUCGUCUUAAUAUUCUAGUGGUUUGCAGGACCCAAAUCUGCCCCAAGAAAGGCAUGAUUGUGUGUGCAAUCAGCAGGGAGUACUACUUCAUCUGGAUCUGACUCUGUCUCUAUUAUGUGUCUAUGAGGAUGGUCCUCAGGUUAACUGUCAGUCACAGACUUAUCCAGCGUCUUCAGUACCAGACCACUCUUAGAGAAGUUAACUUCUCUUGGACAGUGACGCACCCUGUCUGAAAUGUAGACAGAGCUGAGCAAGGAAUUGGGGUCAGUCAAUGCAAGACUCAUGUUUUCUCUUCUCCAGACCAUUUCACAGUGAACCUGGAAAGAAGUUCUCAUGCCCAGUUUCCAGGCCGGACUCUUGGGUACCAACCUACUGAUAACAGACUUUGCAGAGACUGUGUCGAAUGGCAAUGCUCCUCACAUGCACUUACAUGUGCCUGCUCAGUGCACAAAACCACAUGGGAGACUCCAGGAUACCAAACACUUUGAAGAACAGACAAUAGUCAAGUGUGUAGGUGAUGUUGAGUUCAUUCCAAGUCUAAGACAUGCAAAGGAGUGACCUGGGUGUAUUGCUGAGACCACGGGUCACAUCUUCACUAACUGGCAGCAUGCUGUAGGUUUUACCAGAAGUCACACUUAUGUGGAUGGAGAGGCUAGAUAAGUUUCUAAGUAAAGGAAACAGAGCACUUCUCUCUAUACACUGAGGACUGUCUGUGGAAGCCAGUUGCCACAAGACACACCACACCCUUUCCACAAGAAACCAAGACUUCGUGGACCCAAGCCUGCCUGUUUUGUCAAUAUCUUUGGAGUCAAAGGUGAGGCUGGGAGCUCUUGGCCACCAGUUCCAGCCACCGCAUCUACUGCUUUCUGCCAUGCUGCUUCUGUCAUUACAAACUCAAACCUGCU